AUUGAACGCUGGCGGAAUGCUUUACACAUGCAAGUCGAACGGCAGCACGGGGGCAACCCUGGUGGCGAGUGGCGAACGGGUGAGUAAUACAUCGGAACGUGCCCGGUCGUGGGGGAUAACGUAGCGAAAGUUACGCUAAUACCGCAUACGAUCUGAGGAUGAAAGCGGGGGACCUUCGGGCCUCGCGCGAUCGGAGCGGCCGAUGUCAGAUUAGGUAGUUGGUGGGGUAAAGGCCUACCAAGCCGACGAUCUGUAGCUGGUCUGAGAGGACGACCAGCCACACUGGGACUGAGACACGGCCCAGACUCCUACGGGAGGCAGCAGUGGGGAAUUUUGGACAAUGGGCGCAAGCCUGAUCCAGCCAUUCCGCGUGCAGGACGAAGGCCUUCGGGUCGUAAACUGCUUUUGUAUGGAACGAAAAGGCUCUGGCUAAUACCUGGGGCUCAUGACGGUACCGUAAGAAUAAGCACCGGCUAACUACGUG
rnacentral:rRNA from 1 species